UUGACAUGAUGUCUAGCCAUGCUAAUACUGAGAGAUCUUAUUAAUUUAAGGAUCUCGCUGAGUUGAAAUCACUUCACUAUUAACUGAUCAUU